CUUUCUCCAGCUCCACCAAGAAGCCCAUUUCUUGAAAACACAAAUCUGGUAAUGGCAGCGGUUUGGAGCGGAGGGAGAGCAGACCAAAAGAUCUAAGAAGUUAACUGAUCAUGCUCAUGUCGGCCUUUUAGGAAAACAUGAUAAAAGUCAAAGAACUGAAGAGGGAGGAGAGACUGACGAAGUGGAUAAGGAAACAAAGGUAUAGUUUUCGGGCUCGCUCAUGAAUCAAUGGCUUGUAAGGAGAAAAUCUAAAGGAAAUCCUUUUUUGAGAAGAUUUUGAAAUCGUCACAUGCAAGAUAUUGAAUAGAUUUAAUACAGUUUAAAUUACUCAAGUACCAGUGGAAAUGUGCAACAGGAAAUAUAAAGGUAUGAAAUGUUUUUACGUAAUGAAAUGUAUGUUAGUUAUUUCAUUUUUAUUAUUAAAAAAAUCGUUUAUAGAACUUAAAUAAAGAUACUGAUGACAC